UAUGAAAAGAGGUGAAAUACAUGACUAUUUAUAGGGCUUCUAAACCCUAACUCCUAAUAGGACUCUUACUUAAGACUCCUACUUCUAACCAACUCUUAAUAGGACUCAUACUCAAGACUCCUACUUCUAACCAGCUCCUAAUAGGACUCCUACUCAAGACUCCUAUUCCUUUACAACUCCUUAUUCUUCUCUAAGAAAUAACCUCCUAACCCUAGCCGACCACUU
rnacentral:lncRNA from 1 species